rnacentral:lncRNA from 1 species
GAUGGGAACAUUGUGUUGGGUGUCGCUCUAUGGCUCUCUACCUCAUUGUAUUUCAGAAUUUAAGGUCUCAAGAGGCCUAACCUCUCAUAUAUAGAUAUCCAGGAGAUUAGAAUUGGCCUCAAUGGGUGAAAACCAUUGCCCAACUUCUCUUAUAUAGAGAAAUCCAAGAGAUUAGAAAUGGUCUCAUUGGGCCAAAGACAUUAAGGCCCAUUAUCAUGAUCUUAUAAGGGCAACUCAACCAUCAAAGACCCAUCAACAACUUCCCAACAGCUAUAAAUGGUUAUAAACGACUAAUCAAAUGAAUUAACUAGCUUUAUUUGGCUAAUUAAGCUCCAAUAAGAACUAGUCAAAAUCAUAAAACAAUUAUGAAUAAUCACUAAGACGAUUGAGAGCCCUUAAAAGGAUAAAAAACCAAAUCAAUACUAUCAAGAAGUAAAAGAUAGGGUCUUAAGUCUAGUGAACCUCAAACAUGCACAUACAUCCACACUCAUGUCUGUGGCCACGACCCGGCACACUGGACUCUGUUCAGCUCAAAACACU